rnacentral:rRNA from 1 species
AGAGGUCCCAAGCGUUGUUCGGAUUCACUGGGCGUAAAGGGUGCGUAGGCGGUCGGGUAAGUCUGACGUGAAAUCUUCAAGCUCAACUUGGAAACUGCGUCGGAUACUAUUCGGCUAGAGGAAUGGAGGGGAGACUGGAAUACUUGGUGUAGCAGUGAAAUGCGUAGAUAUCAAGUGGAACACCAGAGGCGAAGGCGAGUCUCUGGACAUUUCCUGACGCUGAGGCACGAAAGCCAGGGGAGCAAACGGGAUUAGAUACCCCGGUAGUCCUGGCCCUAAACGGUGCACGUUUGCUGUAAGAGGAAUCGACCCCUUUUGUGGCGAACGUAACGCGUUAAACGUGCCGCCUGGGAAGUACGGCCGCAAGGUUA